CAUUCCUUCAUGGGGGUGGAGAGACUUGAUAUACUAGUGGUUUGUCCAAUGUCUUUGGAGAGGUGGCCCAUUCACUCUCCAAUCCACUGUCACCUUUAGAAAAGUAUAAAAGUUGGAGUCAGAAAAUAAACUUUCUCUUUUACCUUGCAAAGUAGCAAGUGACUCACGUUGUGCUUUCUCAUGUCCUAUAGCGACACAGGGCAGCUCAGGCUGGAGAUCAGGAAAGGUUCUUCCCCCAGAGGUGCUGGCACUGCCCAGGCUGCCCAGGGAAUGGGCACGGCCCCGAGACUGCCAGAGCUCCAGGAGCCUUUGGCCAGCACUACAAGUUCUGCCACUGUUCGUCAUUCACUGCACACCAAUGGGGGUGAGAUGUUUCUACUCUAAGAGCAAUAGAAUGGGUCAAGAUGAUACUCUCUAUAAAAGAGAGAUGUAUUUGAAAUAAAUCAGAGUUCUACUCUCAGCCUUCUGAAGUAGAGUCAUUUCAUACCGUCCUGCUUCAACAGCAUCACAGCACUGCCAGGGAUGCCCAGGGUGGGAUUGCUGGUGGGUCUGUGCAGGGCCAGGAGCUGGGCUGGGUGUUGCUGGUGGGACCCUUUCAACUCAGGACAUUCUGUGAUUUUGUAACUUUUGCCUCCAAGCAGGUCCUGCCUUUGAGGUAGGAGCCUCCUCCAGGAUAAGCUUAUCCUGGGGCAGAGCAGUCUUCAACAUCAAGCACCUGAUGAGUCUUUCUGUCAUUACUGGAGCUAGCUAAAGAAUCAGUCUAUCCACUGAGGCCACCUGAAUUUAAAGGUUUCAUCCUAAAAGAGAAUUUUAGGUUAAAGGAGACUCUUCCUUGUAGCUGGCAAAACCUGAAGAGGGCUGGGGAGUGUAAGCAACCCUCUGAUUGCCUCAGGAGCCCUGAGAGCUGAGGAGAAGCACUCUGAGGUGGCGCAGAGGCUCAAAAUGAUGUGUUGCAGUCCUCAGCAUUUCCAACACUUCAGGCUCCUGGGAAAUUUAGCUCCUGAGCCAGUUAGAUAUUUUUUGGAAAUUUUGCCCUUUUUAUGUGUAUUAUAGGUUGUAUUUAAUCAUGCUGAGCUGGUGAGUAAUAGCUAUAAAAUACUCUAGCAAUUUCAUACAAAUUUUUUUAACAGCUGAAAGGAAAAAGAGGAUACUAGAGAGGAUGAGUCAGGCCCUGAGAAACAGGUUCCAUGGACUCAUUCUUUGGUUUGCAAAUUAUCUGUGAGCAGAUUCUGAUUUCUUUAACUGGGUCAUUUCCUAAAAGGGUUUUUCACUGGUUUUCAUGAGUCAUUCAGAAGAGUUCAGCUGGUUGCCCACUGCUCUCUACAAUGGGAUUCAGAAUUUGCAUGUUAUCAUUUAACUCACAGGGGUUUGUUCCUCCAUCCUUCCCAAAGGGCUUAGUGAUGGUUGGAAGAGAAAACAGAGAUGAACAUAGAGAUGAACACAGGGAUGAACACAGGGUGACUUUGGUGUAGAUGCUGAGAGCAGGCAAUUUUAGCAUUUGUCUGCUCAGCAGGCUCUCUUCACUUCAGAGGAAGAAGGAAUCUGACACAGGAACUGAGUAAACUUGGCCAGCAAAGCAUUUUGGGGGGCUGACUGAGGUACUCAGUCUGGGAUUAUGAAUUACGAGCCAGAACUUGUGCUCGCAGGGAGGAAGGGAGGAAUAUGGGUGAACUGGGGCAUGACCUGAACAUGCAACCUCUCCCAGCCUGCAGGCCCAGAGAUCCCUUUCCACCUUGGGAAGUGCUUUCUGUUCUGCUCUCCUUCCAAUAAACAAUUCCUGCAGGGGGAUCACAGAA
ensembl:lncRNA